UACGUAGGGUGCGAGCGUUGUCCGGAAUUACUGGGCGUAAAGAGUUCGUAGGCGGUUUGUCGCGUCGUUCGUGAAAACUUGGGGCUUAACUCCAAGCGUGCGGGCGAUACGGGCAGACUUGAGUACUACAGGGGAGACUGGAAUUCCUGGUGUAGCGGUGAAAUGCGCAGAUAUCAGGAGGAACACCGGUGGCGAAGGCGGGUCUCUGGGCCGUUACUGACGCUGAGAAGCGAAAGCGUGGGGAGCGAACAGG
rnacentral:rRNA from 1 species